GUGGAUUAGAUACCCUGGUAGUCCAUGCCGUAAACGUUGGGAACUAGGUGUGGGUCUCAUUCCACGAGAUCCGUGCCGCAGCUAACGCAUUAAGUUCCCCGCCUGGGGAGUACGGCCGCAAGGCUAAAACUCAAAGGAAUUGACGGGGGCCCGCACAAGCGGCGGAGCAUGCGGAUUAAUUCGAUGCAACGCGAAGAACCUUACCAAGGCUUGACAUGUACCGGAAACGUGCAGAGAUGUGCGCCCCGCAAGGUCGGUACACAGGUGGUGCACGGCCGUCGACAACU
rnacentral:rRNA from 1 species